rnacentral:rRNA from 1 species
AUCCUGGCUUAGGAUGAACGCUAGCGACAGGCCUAACACAUGCAAGUCGAGGGGCAGCGCGGGAGAAGCUUGCUUUCCUGGCGGCGACCGGCGCACGGGUGCGUAACAGGUGUGCAACCUGUCCAUAGUCGGGGGAUAGCCCAGCGAAAGCUGAAUUAAUACUCCAUGUGAAUCGAAGCCGCAUGACUUUGAUUUGAAACGCAAGGACUAUGGGUGAGCACGCUUCUGAUUAGGUAGUUGGUGGGGUAACGGCCCACCAAGCCGACGAUCAGUAGGGGUUCUGAGAGGAAGGUCCCCCACAUUGGAACUGAGACACGGUCCAAACUCCUACGGGAGGCAGCAGUGAGGAAUAUUGGUCAAUGGGCGAGAGCCUGAACCAGCCAAGUCGCGUGAAAGGAUGAAGGUUCUAUGGAUUGUAAACUUCUUUUGUCCGAGGGUAAAAAAGGCUACGUGUAGCUUCUUGCAAGUAUCGGACGAAUAAGCAUCGGCUAACUCCGUGCCAGCCGCAGC